rnacentral:misc_RNA from 1 species
GAUGAAGAACGCAGCGAAAUGCGAUAAGUAGUGUGAAUUGCAGAAUUCAGUGAAUCAUCGAAUCUUUGAACGCACAUUGCGCCCCUUGGUAUUCCAUGGGGCAUGCCUGUUCGAGCGUCAUUUGUACCUUCAAGCUCUGCUUGGUGUUGGGUGUUUGUCUCGCCUCUGCGUGUAGACUCGCCUCAAAACAAUUGGCAGCCGGCGUAUUGAUUUCGGAGCGCAGUACAUCUCGCGCUUUGCACUCAUAACGACUACGUCCAAAAGUACAUUUUACACUCUUGACCUCGGAUCAGGUAGGGAUACCCGCUGAACUUAAGCAUAUCAAUAAGCGGAGGA